UUCACGCGCUCUAUGAUGAUGAUAUAUUGUCUAUAUUUAAACACAGAAUACUACAUUCCCUCCUUCCUUUAGAUGAAAGGAAUCAUGUCUUUAUAUCUUGAUGAUGGCUUGACGACUCUUCCACUCCUGGUGAUCACUGGUUCCUUGGUAGUCGGCAAGGGUGGAGAAACCUCUGGUGGCAACUGGUGAAGAGCCUCGGCAUCAAGUCAAUCUGAAACAACUGGGUUAAAUGUAGACCCUGUUCUACUUGAACUUGGUCGGUUUAAAGAAGUGUCCUUGUCUUGGUUUGAGGAAUUAUCAUCUGGUAUUUGUACAUCAGAAGAGUUGAGGUGUUCAAUUCUUGUUGAAUCUGAACUAAGAUUUUCCUGGCUCUCUUCUGGAAUCAAGUCAGAAAUUCCUUGAUUGGUCUCUUGAGUAGGAACAUGUUUCAAAUGUUUAGCAUUUCUAUGAAUUAUUUUCCCAUUUUUAGUGUUGACUAAUUUAAAAGAAUUUAUUGAAGUGUUUUCAAGAAUGACAUGUUGUUCUGAUCUGAAAUUUGAAUCAAGUUUUCCAUUAUUUGGAUUUGCCACAUAAGCUAAAUUUCCAAUUUCAAAAUUAUGAGGACUAGCUUUCCGAAUUAUAUCAUUAUAUGUUUUCAAUUUUUCUUUGUAGACCAUAUUGAAUUCUUUGAUGUUGGAUUCAUCUUCUUCUGCAUCAAUAACAAGUGAGCUUAAUUUAGUUUUGAUUUCUCUUGAAAAUAAUAGGAAUGCUAGAGUCUUUCCUGUAGAUCUGUUUGGAGUAGUUCGGUAUGACAUUAAAAUUCUGGAUAAAUCUUCUUUCCAAUCUUUCCCUUCUUCAGAACUUGAAUUGAAUUGUUUCUUUAGAAAUCUAUGGAAUCUUUCUAUCUUCCCAUUACUUUUUGGGUAAUAGGGUGAGGCUUUGAUGUGCCUCUGAUUCCACAUUCUUUUAAAAAUCUUUCCAUUGAUGUACUUACAAACUAUGAGCCAUUAUCUGUUACAACUUCAUGUGGAUAACCAUGUCUUGCAAAAAUCUCCAUCAAUUUUUUUUAAUAAUUGUCUUGCUGGAAAUGUCUUCUAUUAUCAUUGCUUCAGGAUAUGAAGAAUAGUAGUCGAUCACUGUUAAAACAUAAUGAUGGCCAGUUGGACCAACUAUGUCAAUUCCAAGUUUCAUCCAAGGUUUUGAUGGUAACGGAACUAUUUGCAAUGGUUGAUCAUUUAUCAAUGGUUGAUUCCUUACACAAAUUGGACAGUUUCUUAUUAAAUUUUCAAUGUCAAAGUCCAUGUUUAUCCAAAAAUAAUUUUCUCUUAACAGUUGUUUGGUUCUUGUCAUUCCUUGAUGUGUUUCAUGUGCAAUUCUCAAGACUCUCUUUAUUAGUUUUGAAGGUAGCAAAAUUCUAUUUCCUUUUAAGAUAAGAUUAUCAAAAAUUGAGAGUUCAUCUUUAAACUUAUAAAAAAAUUUGAAUUCUUCAUUCAAAGGAUAUGGCCAAACUCCCUUUUGAACCAUCUCUUUCAGUUUUUGAAACAAAGGAUCUUGCUCUGUACAAACUUUUAUCUCUUUCAAAGACAGUGCUUGAAGCUCUUCAGAAGUGAUGGAUAAGACUUUAUGAACAUAGUCCUCCAGCCAUUUUUCAUCACUUGUGUUAGAAAGAGGUUGUCUUGAAAAUAUAUCUGCAAUAUUUUGCUUUCCUUGAAUGAAUUCAAUUUCAAAGUCAUAAGGUUGUAAUCUCCAACUCAAUCUUUGAAUUCUUGGAGGCAAAACAGCUCCAUUUUUAGGAUUCAGCAUAUAGAUUAGAGGUUUGUGAUCUGUUUUUAACACAAAUUUCCUUCCUCAAAUAUAGGUGUUAAAAUGCUCAAUUGCCCAUACACAUCCCAAUGUCUCUUUUUCUAUUUGUGAAUAUCUUUUUUCAGUAUCAGUUAAGGAUCUGCCGGCAUAUGCAAUGGGUCUUUUAAUGCCAUUCUGUUGUGUUUGUAUUAAUACUGCUCCAAGACCUAUAGGGCUUGCAUCUGUGAUUAAUUCAGUUGGUGAGUUCAAGUUGUAAUAUGCCAAGCAUGGCUCUUUUGUUAGUGACUCUUUAAGAUCCUGAAAUGCUUUAUUUGUUUUCAAAUCCCAAUUCCACCUAACAUUUUUUCUAGUCAAAUUAUUUAGAGGUUCUGCCAAUUUAGAAAAAUUAGGUAUGAAUUUUCUUAAAACCCCACAAGUUCCUAAGAAUGACCUUAACAUCUCAAUAUUUUUUGGUAUUGGAAAAUUUAAGGCUGCUUCUAUUUUCCUAUUAUCAGGUUUAAUACCUUCACUACUAACAAUGUGACCUAAAAUAUCCAAUUCUUCCAUGGCAAAUUUGCACUUAUUCCUGUUGAGCCUAAUGCCUACUUUAUCAAAUCUUUGUAAGACUUUUCUAAGCCUUUCUUCUAGUUCUUGUCUAUCUUUGGCGUAAACUACGACAUCGUCCAAGUAACAAAUUACUCCUUUCAAAUCAAGCAAAAUUGAAUCCAUUCAUUUCUGAUAUGCCUCUGGAGCACUUGAUAGACCAAAAGGAACUUUACAAAAUCUGUAACAACCACGGUGCGUGAUGAAAGUUGUAAGGGGUCUUGAUUGAGGGUCUAAGUCAACCUGCCAAAACCCUUUUUUUGCAUCCAGCUUUGCAAAUACUUUAGCACCUUUAAGGGCAUGUAACAUAUUGUCAAUUGUAGGAAUUGGAUGUCUUUCUCUCAAUAUUGCUUUAUUCACUUCCCGAAGGUCUAUGCAUAGUCUAAUUUCCUCACUAUCCCUUUUUGGAACAACUAUUAUGUUAGAAACCCAUUCAGAACCUUGAUGCACUUCUUCAAUGAUUCCAUUCUCUAGCAUCUUAUCAAGCUCUUGGUUUACUGCUUCUACCAUUGCAUAAGGUAUAUGACGGCAUCUCUGGGCAAUGGGCCUAUAGUUGUAUUUCAAUGUCACUUUAUGACUAUAGCCUUUUAUAGUUCCAAGUCCAUGGAAAAGAUGUUCAUGUUCUUGAACAAGAGUUUCUAUAUUAUUAGACAUUGAAUCAUUUACAUGAUUUACCCUUUUAAUUAUACCUAGUUCAAAACUAGCCUUGCCUCCCAACAAAGAUUCAACUUUUUUAUCAAUCACAUAAAUUUCUUCAGAAAUUGGAUUUUCUUUCCAAGAAAUCACAGCAUUGAAAUAACCAUAACAUGGAAGAGGUCUAUCUUGACCAUAGGCAAAAAAGGUUCGGGUGGUGUCAUGUAAUUUUGGCAUAAUUUUAUGGCCAUAUAAUUCAAGCAUCUUAUCAUAGCUUAUGAAAGUUCUAUCACUCCCUGUAUCAAUUAUCAUAUUUAUUUUACUACCAUCUAUUUGCACUUUUUCUUUAUUUUCAGCACCUGUAUAGUAGGUAUAUUCAUCUGAACUUUCACCUACUUCAGUCUUAUUUUCUUCUUGUAUGGUUUUUACUUUAGUUUGAUUGAAACUUUUGUGGUUUAUAUUAUUAUUUUGAUUUGGGCGUUUCCUGCAAGCUCUAAAAAGAUGUCCUAAUUUAUUGCAAUAUGAACAAGUCAUUUUUUUAGCACCACAUUCUUGUGCUGAAUGUGUAUCUAAUCCACAGCGAUAACAUUUAGGCUUUGAGGCACCUGAAAAUGAUGGGGUACCUUGAUUAGUGAAUCUACCUUUGUUGAAAUUAUUAGCAUUAUAGUGCUUUUUAGGUUUAAUUUGAACUCUAUUUAGUGUUUGAUCAUUUUGAGGUUCAAGAAGUCUAAUUUCUUUUCUAGAAAUUUCUAACAUUCUAGCAAUAUCAAUGGUUUUUGACAGUGUCAAAUUUUCUUGUUGCAACAAUUUUUCUUUAAGUUUUUUGUUGUUACAUUUUUCAAUUAUUUGGUCUCUUAUCAUAUCAGCUUCUAAAUUUCCAAAUUCACAAGAUUUAGAAAGCUCUCUUAAAGAAAUUAGGUAGUUGUCGAUCGAUUCAUCAUCUUUCUGGACUCUUUGUCUAAAUUUAAAUCUCUCAGUGACCACAUUUUUAUGAGGUGUGACAUAUUUAUCUAAAGCCAUUUUAGUUUGUUCAUAAUUUUUCUUUUCAUCUGGCAAAUUGAAAAAUAUACGUUGUACAUUUGGCCCUAAACAAUGCAAUAGAGUUGCUCUCUUUAUUUCAUCCGAUUUUUUUUUAAAUUCCUGAUGCUAUUUCAAAAAUGGCAUAGGAUUCCAUCCAUUGCUUAUAUUCCGCAAAUAAAUUGCUAGCAUUCAUAUUCAUGGGUAAAGGUGGCGUCAGGUUGGCUGCCAUACUUGUUUUUUAGGGCUACAGUUAUAUUUUCAAAUUCUCGUCGCCAAUUUAUGUUGUAUAUAGUUAUUAUUUAAUUUAUUAAUUAGACAUUACUCACCAGAUGAAAUUAUUUUAUUCCAAUUAUAUAUAUUUAAAAGGGUACAGUUAUUUUAUUUUACAAUUUUCUUUAUAUUAGAAUCCAAUGUUUUUCGCUUCACGCGCUCUAUGAUGAUGAUAUAUUGUCUAUCUUUAAACAAUGAAUACUACACACAAUAUUUAAAAAUUAUGCAUUCGCGCGACAUCUGUAAUGAGAAGAUGAAACCAUUAUCGACGCGUAUGAUUCUUUUAAAAGUAAACAAUUAUCUCUACUGCCCUUACUGUAAUGUUAAAUUAAUUAGAGGGCCUGACUUAUUGGUGGUGAACUCUUCCAGAGGUUCACCACUGAUGAGCCAGACCCUUCCAUUAAUUUAUCAUUACAGUAAGGGCAGUAGAGAUAAUUGUUUACUUUUAAAAGAAUCAUACGCGUCGAUAAUGGUUUCGAAUUCUUAUAAUAUGCAAAUACAAGGAAAUAUUAUCUCUAUAAGCGUAAUUCCUUUUUUAUAUAAAUAAAAUACAAUUCGCUGAGAUAAGAAUUUCCACUUUUUUAUCACGACAAUACAAGCUUUCGUAACAGCUCUUCAACAGUAUUUUUAGUAUCGUGAUUACUUAUACCUUUUGUUAAGAUUUGGAAAUAAUUUCAAAAUUUAUAUAUGUUAUAAAAUAUUUCUGAUGAUUUUAGAAUAAUUUUGAGAUAUGGAAUUAUUAUUUGCUGAUUGCUUUGAGUUCGUAAACAUUUUGGUACUGGUUUGUAGUCGUGAUAUUUUGAAAAUAUAAUAAAUCAAUUUAUAUCACAAUUUUCUUUAAUUGUGACAAUGAAACAAUUUAGGAAAAGAAAACCAAUUUGAGGCGUAAAUAAUAAAAUAAAACUUUAAAUACGUAUUUACAUAAUUACAAAAUGAUUGUAAAACGACGUUUGCAAGUUUUACAGCAAAUGUUUCUUUUGUGAACGAAAAAUCGUAAUUUAUUUUAAGGAGAAAUAACGACUAUUUAUUAACACAAAGCAAUAACGCGCCAUCUAUACAUAUAAAAUAAAGGAUUUAAAAGCACGAAUGUUUCUUUUAUACAUAAUACAAACUUCUACUAACCUUACUGCGAUGAAAAAAUAUAUUGGGAGGGCUUGGUUAAUCAGUGGUGAACCCUCCCAGCGGUUUCGCCAAUUUAAUUUACCAGACCGCUUCUCAGAGCUCUAAUACUGUAUUGGACGAUUCUGCUUAUAUACGCAGCACUGAAGGGUGGAAUCUCAGAAAUGGUUUUCAAGAAAACUAUGGACAUAAGCCUAUAGGACAGUAGAAUUACAUUCAAAUAUUUGCAUCGAGCAAUGCUCUUCCGCAAACAAUUAAGACAAGGUCAGUUAGGCAUAAAUUAACACAAAGCAAUAACGCGCCAUCUAUACAUAUAAAAUGAAAGGAUUUAAAAGCACGAAUGUUUCUUUUAUACAUAAUACAAACUUCAAUUUUCUAUUAAACGACUAUUUAUAUCAAUGAAUAUAUGAAGUAUAUAGUAUAUAUGGUAAUUUAGCCAACAACCCCAUAUUGUAUAUAACUUAUAACAAGAUUUUAAUGUUGUAUAGUAGAAACACAUCUGUAAAUGAUUAUACGCAUGAUUGACAUGUGUCAUUACAUCAUCAUAUGUAAUGUAAUUUGUACAAACUGAGGAUAAAUAAAUAAAACUCUGUAAUAGAUUAAGAGUUGAGCUAAGCAAGAGAUAGAAGUCAUAACGUCUAAAAUCGAGAUAGAUUUAGAAUUCCCACAACAAGGUCUAAAAAUGGAAACUGCCACGGCGCCAGUAGAAUUUCACCAGACGAUCCACGCCCCCUCUCACAUCUGGUGAAAUGCAAAACCCCCUUUCUCAGAAAAGGUACAUAAAGCCCCCGUCCUAGCUAAAAAUACAGUUAGUUUACCAUCUGCGCGAGCCCUCGUCGGUUGUACCUCAGGUCCAUCUCAUCCAUCAUGUAGACCAGUAAGGAACUUCUAUCUCCCCAUCUUUCGCUCCUAGCUCAACUUUUAUCUGUUUACGGAACUUUCUUAGUGCAACUGUGUCUUCGUUUUUUGUGUGGACAUUCCCAAGCUUUCCACUCUGCCUCGACCAUGACUGCCUGUACUUUGUGAGAACUUUUAAAGGUCUUCCAAGGUGCAGAGAGGUACUGGAAAACUCCCCAUCCUGACUGUUCCUCUCGGUCAACACAGUAUAGCGAGAGUCAACACUUCAUCAUCACAUAUAUAUACCCAUUUCUUGGUUUCUCAAGAAGCCUCUGGGAACAAAAAUAUUUUUGGUCACAGUGGUACAGCCUACUCCACGCUGACGAGCACCAACAGCGCGAAACACGUUCGUGGAUGGCUUUUCUUGAUUUAUAAAGAAAUUGGGUUGGCCAAAUAUCACGGAGCAAGCUAAAUCAAUGUUUAAUUGAUUUCUGUUCCACUAGAUGGCGCUCUGCCUUCUGUAAAGCACGUGUGCUCCUGGUCAGGAUAUGCCUUUUUAUUUUAAAUAAAUAUUUAUUUUUUCUUCAUAUUGUCACGUAUAAGGUCUCGGAAUAACUACAACCUCCGCCAAUAGAUGGCGCUUUCGCCUGUUUCCGAUCUGAAACUGGUGUGGGAUCGCCGACUGCUGUGGUCCUGUUUCCUGGGGAAAAUGUUUGUAAAUACACUUUUAUAUUGGCCCUAGGAGGUGACAUAAUGUAAAUACCUGUUGUUUAUUAUUCCAGUUAUAUGUAAUGUUUAGUAGUAAAUGACAAUAAAGAGUAGUGUUUGAAGUCUCGGUGCCGCCUGCUGUUGUUCCUCUCGCCAUCGCCACAUUGCUGCUGCUACUCUUCUGGUAAGUUUCUCGUGUCCCCCCACCAGUGGUAAGGCCGAGAGAUACUGCCAGAGGAAAGGAGUUCCACUUGAGCGGUGGUUCUCGGAGGUCCUUGGGUGCUCUGCAGGGUAGAGCUGCAGAGGGAGAGCAACGAGAGCCCGGGUAGGUGAUCCACGGCGGAAAAAGCGGCGUCGUCGCGAAGAACCGCGGAGGGCUCAGCCGCGACAAUAUAUAUGUCUUUUUUUUUAUAUAUUUCACAUUUAUCUUUAUAUUGGCGGAAAAGACGCACGAUUUCGAUGUACUUAUACAAUAUCACUGACCUGUAGAAGAGCAUCGGCUCAAAAGUCUUUUUCACAAGUAAAAAAAAAAACACACACACACACACUUCACCCAACAGUCUAAUGUAUUUAGUUAAAUAAGCAAUCAGUGAUUUAUGUUGGUAUAUAUGCAAAUCUCGGUCAUUGAAAUCUCUAUUAGACUCAAUUUCUUCUUCCGUGAUCAACGUUUCGGGGGAUAAAGCGGGAAAGGAUAGAAUAUAUAUAAAUAUCAUAAUGAUAACUAUCUCCGCCUUUGCCGGUCCCAAGCCCGGAUGAAAAAGGAGGAGAGGGAGCAGUAAUAAGCUCACUAAAAAACCUGGGUUCAGCUGGCCAUGCUAAUAGUACCCUGUAAGGGGGCUCCAGGGAUACAGGAUGUGCAGCGUUUGUACUCCAUGUUAGGAACGGCUGCACAUGGUGUCUGUUCCUCAUGCCAGAGGUGGUCAUUUCUUUUGAAGUUAAGUCAACCUGCCACUGAGUAGUGCUCCCAGUCUUAAUGACAAAGGCAGACGUAUUCUACUUCACCUAGUCAUGAAUGAUUGAGUGGAGAUAAGAAAGAAGAAGAUAAUGAUAACUAAUAUUGCUACUUUAUAUUUCGUCACAUAGAAAAAACUGGAAAGGAACCAAAUUCCAGGAUGACAAUUUAUUUUGAUCCAAACAAUCGUAUACCUUGUUUACAUAAUGGAAAGGGAGGCACUGAGAUAAAUAGGCUUAAAAAGAAGUGAAUGAAGAUAAUAUAGUUUAUAUACCGUAUCACAGAGAGAGAGAGAGAGAGAGAGAGAGAGAGAGAGGCAAACGAAAAAGGAGGCUCUGCCAGACUUAUUCUACAUUGGCUCAAUAUAUGAUCCCUAUNNNNNNNNNNNNNNNNNNNNNNNNNNNNNNNNNNNNNNNNNNNNNNNNNNNNNNNNNNNNNNNNNNNNNNNNNNNNNNNNNNNNNNNNNNNNNNNNNNNNAUAUCGAUAUAGAAGUUUGUCUUUUUUAUAAUAUGAUGCACUAGCGCGCCAUCUGUUAUCAAAAUUCGAAACUAUUUUAAAGGCGUAAGAUUCUAUUUGAAAAUAAACAAUUUCUACUGCCCUUACUGCAAUGGAAAACCACUCCUCCCAUUAAUUUUUCCAUUGCAGUAAGGGCAGUAGAAAUUGUUUAUUUUCAAAAAGAAUCUUACGCUUUUAAAAUAGUUUCGAAUUUUGAUUGUCUUUUUUAUUUCAACAUUUAUAUAUAUUAAUAUAUAUGAUACAUUUGAGACAUUAUUACAAUGUCCAUAUAAGAUUAUAUUGUACCAAGUGAAAGAAAAAAAUUAUAUUACAGAGUAAAAGAAAGUAAUAAAUAUAUAUAAAUGUAUAAAUAUUUACAUCAGACAUCUCUGAAGGGACAUCUGAAUCGUGUCAAAUGCUCAAAGCCGCCCUGAAUUCGGAAAGGCCGGUGCUUAUAACGGUGUUUUUGUCCCCAACGUGCUCAAUUGCAUCGCCGAGGAAUUCUUACAGAAUUUUCCUGUUUCCAGGC
rnacentral:piRNA from 1 species